ACUGUGCUCACCACACCUAUAUUUUUCAAUUAAAAAGUCCCGUUCACCGAGGCGUAUCUCAGGGGUUUACUUCUUAGCUUGACUUGACUUGGCUUGACUUGACUUGGCUCGGCUCCUUAGGGGUUUACACAAUUACUCAAUUCCAAUUAAUUAAUACUUGCUACACGAAUACUUGUUACACAAAUAAGAACAAUCAAUACUUAAUAUACUUCAACUCUAACUCCAGCUUUCAAUGAAUACCAAAAACUCUUUAAUAUCAAAUAAAGCACUUAAUUAUAUUACUGUCAAAAAAUAAUACAAACACCAGUCCAUCAACUCUAAUGAAACAUAUGUACAUAACACCAAUCCAGGAAGCAACGUCCAACCUUCCUGGACCGGGAGCAAGACCUCACUAACUUAACACACUCUCUCUUGCAUUCACAACACGUGCAAGACUGUUCACAUUCACAACCUGGGACUACAUAAACAAGGGGAUAUAACUAUCAUACCAAAAUAUCAAACUAGCAUUCACUCUCGCCAUACCCCCCCCCUGACAACGUCCUUGCUUGCAGGGUAGAGUGACCUCCGGUGAAUGUGUUAACAUUUUUACUAUAGCGUAUAGACUAUAUAAAGAAACCAUCACUAAAGUUUUUAAUCACCACUUUUACACCAAAUGAUGAAUGGAAACUCAAUUGUCAUCGAAGAUUUUUCAUAGGAGCAUACUUCUUCGAAGAAACUAAAGAAAUAUGUAGCUAAAUAUUGUUGGAAGUGAAUACAUAGAAAUGGACAUGAAUAUCUAACAUUUGAAGAGUUGUAGGCGCCUAUAUGUGAACAAAUAUGUGUAUAUGCAACCCAUUUAUUACUCAAUCCAUAUUUUUAUGAAACCAGUUACAGUUACAAUGAAAGGAUGAAAUUUUGGAUAAUAUUCUAAUUGUGUUUUAUGAAAUGUAAGGAUCAAUAAAGCAGUCUUAUCUUA